rnacentral:rRNA from 1 species
CCAAUAGCGUAUAUUAAAGUUGUUGCAGUUAAAAAGUUCGUAGUUGAACUUCGGGGUUUAUUCAUUGGUCAGGCUUAAUUGUCUGUACUGGUGAGAUGAAUCUCUACCUUCUGAGGAACUUUCAUGCCAUUUAUUUGGUGUGAUUGGAAAUCAGGACUGUUACUUUGAAAAAAUUAGAGUGUUUAAAGCAGGCUAACGUCUGAAUACAUUUGCAUGGAAUAAUGAAAUAGGACGGACUGGUUCUAUUUUGUUGGUUUCUAGGAUCACCGUAAUGAUUAAUAGGGAUAGUUGUGGGCAUUAGUAUUCAAUUGUCAGAGGUGAAAUUCUUGGAUUUAUUGAAGACUAACUACUGCGAAAGCAUUUGCCAAGGAUGUUUUCAUUAAUCAAGAACGAAAGUUAGGGGAUCGAAGACGAUCAGAUACCGUCGUAGUCUUAACCAUAAACUAUGCCGACUAGGGAUCGGACGAAGUUAAUUUUAUAAUGACGCGUUCGGCACCUUACG